GGAAGUAAAAGUCGUAAUAAGGUUUCCGUAGGUGAACCUGCGGAAGGAUCAUUAAAGUUAUAGUCCCCCGGCCCUCUGGGCUGGGGUCUUCUAUACCACCCUUUGUUUAUUACACCUUUGUUGCUUUGGCAGGCCUGCCCUCGGGCUGCUGGCUCCGGCCGGCUCGCGUCUGCCAGAGGACCUAAACUCUGUUUGUAUAUGAAGUCUGAGUACUAUAUAAUAGUUAAAACUUUCAACAACGGAUCUCUUGGUUCUG
rnacentral:misc_RNA from 1 species